rnacentral:lncRNA from 1 species
UUGUGUUGCUAUCUGAAAAUAAUAUUUUUUAUUAUAAAGUUAAAAAAUUAAGAUAUAAAUUCUUUUAAUUAAAUAUUAGUCGAACAAAAAUAUUUAUAUAACGAUAUUUUCUAAACUAUUUCUAAUAUAUGAGUGUCGUAAAACUUUUAACACAAUAGUAAGUACAUAGUGUUAUGAACGUUUUUUAACAUAUAUAAAUAAUUUGAUGUUUGAUUUAACUGCUUAAAAUCAUUAAUAAUAACUUAACUUGUGAUUGAGCUCAAAACAAAUUUUAUUGCUUUUACUUUAAACCAGUUUAAUCCUUGAAACAUUAUAGCUUCAAUUGACGACUACUAGAAAAAUGAAAAAAAUGAACAAAAUAAAAAAUAAAAUUUCAUUUGAAGAAAUGAAAAAAUAAAAAAAAUCUGAAUUUUUGUUCAAUUUGUUCCUUACCAAAAUUGCAUAAGGAAAUUGUUUCUUAUAAAUUCAUUUCUCCAUGGGGAAUUUAGAAGAAAAAGUGGGAUCUACCUUUUAAUAAUUUGACUAAAAUUUCAAUAUAACUGGUAUAAGUUUUAAGAAACAAAGAAUUCACCAUAAUUAUUUUACUUCAGUAUGUUCACCAAUUAGAGAUUUAUUACUCCGAUUUUUGGAUUAAUAAGAAAUAAAAUAAUAAGUAUUCGUAAGAUGAUUAUGCC